rnacentral:rRNA from 1 species
AGACCGAUAGCAAACAAGUACGGUGACGGAAGAUUGAAAAGAACUUUGAAGAGAGAGUUCAAUAGUACAUGAAACUGUGUGGUGGUAAACGGAGGGAUUCUUGAAGUUUCUGUGAAGAACUCAGCCUUGGUGUUGGGCAGUCUGGUAUUAUCUGAUCAGCAAUGACAGUGGUGCUAGUCUUGUUUAGCUCACGGGUGCAUUUUCUUUGCAGUUUACGGCAGGAACUGUUUGGAGUUGACCUAUGGCUUCGGGUGAAGUUACAGACCUAGUUUGUAGCCCUGGAUGUCCUGGCUCCACAUCAGACAGGUAUUUGAGGAGACUCGUAUAGCGAGCAAUGCUCUGUUGCGGUUUCCAUCUCUCUGCCGAGUAUGUCAGGGUCCCUCCGACCCGUCUUGAAACACGGAC